rnacentral:rRNA from 1 species
AUGGUGUACCACAGCUUCGACUAUGUAGAAGACGACCCACAUAACUACUAUCCACCAGAAUUCCUAAACACCCUCACCCCAAAUGGACUGCCUCCACAUAUGCUAAAGCUGAAAAUAAAUUGUCCAAUCAUACUACUGAGGAACAUCGACCCCGCUAAUGGACUCUGCAAUGGCACAAGAUUGGUCGUACGUGGAUUCCAGAAAAAUGCAAUUGAUGCAGAGAUUGUAGUAGGGCAGCACUCUGGAAUGCAAGUUUUCUUGCCACGAAUACCAUUAUGCCCAUCUGACGACGACAUGUUCCCGUUCAAUUUCAAGAGGAAACAAUUUCCAGUGAGACUAAGUUUUGCAAUGACAAUAAACAAAUUGCAAGGUCAGACAAUACCAAAUGUCGGCGUCUACCUGCCUGAAUCGGUUUUCUCACAUGGUCAACUAUAUGUCGCUCUUUCUAGAGCGACCGCGACAUCAAACAUAAAAGUAUUAACUAAUAAGAAUCAAACAAUCAUUACAAAGGAGGCAUACACAAAAAAUAUUGUCUACACAGAAGUCAAAUAG